ACAUGUCAUUUCCAAUUGCAGGUAUCGAAGUUCAGAAAAUUAACGUUAUUUUAAAUUAUUAUGUUAUAUUAAAAGAGAAACUUAAUAUUUCAUGAAAUUUUUGAUCCAACUAGAACGUGUCGCAUUACAGUAGGACGUGGAGUAGGGAUGCAGUGAAAGACGUUCGGCAGAACAGACAAGUUCAAUACGGGGCCCAACAACUUGCAAGAACUGACCGUGAAAAUAAUUUUUAAUUAUUACUCAUUCGUGCUACUUCUCUACGGUGUAAAGAACUUGUCACUAAUACAAAAAAAACACUUACAUGUUGUCCUCAGAUACUCAGCGAUAGAAUUAAGGGUUGUCAACUUGGUUAUGAAGUGUCAGUCCAAGAAAACCUUUGUAGGUUAACUUGCAAAGUUAUUUGAAAUUACUGAUCGUUAUUUUAAAAUUUAAAUUAUACUCAGAGAAAAAUCAAUAAAAAUGGAUAAGAAUCAUGACUACUGUAGUGAGCCAUUUAUUACGGAUUGCCACGAUGAUUAUUUUACCUAUUUGAGCGUUGGAGAUCUAAUCGACAGGUGUGAGAAUGAUAAAUAUAAAAUAAUAAAAUGUCGCACAAUUGGUAUCAUACAAAGUUUUAAUGGAAACUUUUUCAUUAAGGAUCUAAAUGGUAGAUCUGAAGCCCCUAUGAUAAGAGUUUCACUGGCAUACAUGAAGUCUCCGCUGCAGUCCACAGUGAUGCCUUUCUCUAUACAAUUGUUUGGCACAAUGCAAUGGCGAAAUAGGCCAGUGAUAUUUGCUAGAUUAAUACAGGUUUUAAGUGUUGCAACAGCUGUGCGCUUGAAUGAUGCAAUACUUAAAGUAUCUAGAACGUGCACAGCAGACACAGCUCAUAAUGAUGAUGAUGGAUUCCAGUAGUGAUCAUUCAUGGAUAUAUCGUGCUAUAGAAUCUGCUCCAAAAGACCUAUGUAUGGAAUUAGGACUACGAGUCAUGACAGCUCUACCUUUUCAAACAAAAAUAAUUAAAAAUAAACACAGAUGACUUGGAAAGAAUACAUAUUUAUUACAUCUUAAAUAAAUAUAUUAACAUGA